rnacentral:rRNA from 1 species
GACCCUAUAGAGUUUAAUAUUUAAUAGAGUAUAUUUUUUUAGAAUUCAUAAGUUAUACUUUAUUGAAUAUUUAAUUGGGGUGAUUAAAAAAUUGAAUAAACUUUUUUUGUAUAAAAACAUUGAUUUAUGAUUAUUUGAUCCAUAAAUAGUGAUUAUAAGAUUAAAUUACCUUAGGGAUAACAGCGUAAUUUUUUUUGAGAGUUCAAAUCGAAAAAAAAGAUUGCGACCUCGAUGUUGGAUUAAAAUUUAUAUUUGGUGUAGAAGCUAAAUUAAUUGGGUCUGUUCGACCUUUAAAAUUUUACAUGAUCUGA